GAUGAACGCUGGCGGCAUGCCUAACACAUGCAAGUCGAGCGAACCCACGAGGAGCUUUCUCCCCUGACUUUAGCGCCCGUCGGAUGAGUAACACGUGGAUAGCCUACCUCUCAGACUGGGAUAAUUUCGCGGGACCAGGUCUUCUACCCGAAAAUAUAUCGACCUUCGUUGGUCACUAGUUAGAGACGCUUUUUCUUUCACUAAUAGCUGACUACGCGCCGCAUUCGUUAGUUGGUAAGGUAACGGCUCAGCAAGGCAACGAUGCGUAGCCGACCUGAGAGGGUGAUCGGCCACACUGGAACUGAGACAGGGUCCAGACUCCGACGGGAGGCAGCAGUCGGGAAUCUUCCGCAAUGGGCGAAAGCCUGAUGGAGCAACACCGCGUGAGUGAUGAAGGUCUUCGGAUGGUAAAGCUCUGUUGUUAGGAAAGAACAAAAGCUUUUUUAACCGUGCACGUCUUGACGGUACCUAAUGAAUAAGCCCCGGCUAACUACGUG
rnacentral:rRNA from 1 species